rnacentral:lncRNA from 1 species
ACCACAGCUCCGGAUUUUACCGGAGCGCCCACUUGUUAAAAUAGUACUUUAAUUUGCGUACUUAUCAUUGACGUUUUGAUUUUGAGGUCCUACUGUUUUUAAAUUUUGUUUUUUAAAAUAGAACUCAUAGCCGGUGUGGUCGGACAGGUCUAUAAUCCCAGCUACUUGGGACGCUCAGGUCGGGAGGCUCGAGGUUCGAGGCCAGCCUGGGCAAAUAGUUUGAGCGGCACCAUCUCGAAAAUAACCAGAGCAAAAUGGACUGGAGGGUGUCCCUGUGUUGCUCAGACUGAUCCUCAAAAUCCUGGGAUCACUCGAUCCUCUGGCCUGGGACUACAGAAGCGCUAUGGGGCUCAGUAGUCUCCCGCUUGCCCAGCACCACAAAGCCCUGGUUCCACCCCCAGCUUCAUAAAAACCAUAAAGAUGAAGAAGAACAGGAGACAGAGAUACAAAUAUGUAAGUACAGUAGUCUUUCUUCAUGCAUGGGGGGGGAUGUCCCAAGGUCCCUAGCGGGUGCCUGAAACAUCAGAUAAUAUCAAAGUCCACGCAUCUGAUAACUGAGAUGUCCACUGGGUGACUAACGGGCGGGUAGCAUACACAGCAUGGCUACUUGGACAAAGGGCGGUUCAAGUCCCAGGUGGGAUGAAGGGGACAGGUGAGAGACUUCAUCAUGCUGCUUGGAACAAUGAGCAAU